CGGCGCACGGGUGCGUAACACGUGUGCAACCUACCUUUAUCUGGGGGAUAGCCUUUCGAAAGGAAGAUUAAUACCCCAUAAUAUAAUGAUUGGCAUCAAUUAUUAUUGAAAACUCCGGUGGAUAGAGAUGGGCACGCGCAAGAUUAGAUAGUUAGUGAGGUAACGGCUCACCAAGUCAAUGAUCUUUAGGGGUCCUGAGAGGGAGAUCCCCCACACUGGUACUGAGACACGGACCAGACUCCUACGGGAGGCAGCAGUGAGGAAUAUUGGACAAUGGGUGAGAGCCUGAUCCAGCCAUCCCGCGUGAAGGAAGACGGUCCUAGGAUUGUAAACUUCUUUUGUACAGGGAUAAACCUACUCUCGUGAGGGUAGCUGAAGGUACUGUACGAAUAAGCACCGGCUAACUCCGUGCCAGCAGCCGCGGUAAUACGGAGGGUGCAAGCGUUAUCCGGAUUUAUUGGGUUUAAAGGGUCCGUAGGCGGACUUGUAAGUCAGUGGUGAAAUCUCAUAGCUUAACUAUGAAACUGCCAUUGAUACUGCAGGUCUUGAGUAAAUUUGAAGUGGCUGGAAUAAGUAGUGUAGCGGUGAAAUGCAUAGAUAUUACUUAGAACACCAAUUGCGAAGGCAGGUCACUAAGAUUUAACUGACGCUGAUGGACGAAAGCGUGGGUAGCGAACAGGAUUAGAUACCCUGGUAGUCCACGCCGUAAACGAUGCUAACU
rnacentral:rRNA from 1 species